AUGUGGUCGUACCCGCCGACGGCGAGGCAACUAGCCAUAACCGGCGGCAUGUUUGUCGUCGGUGCUUCGUUGUUCGGCGCCGGAGCUUAUCUCUCGUACGUUAACGUUGUUCCUCAGCAGGCUCGCGUGAAAGAGCGCAGCGAAGUGAUGAGGAAUUAUCUCAGGAAGCGCCUCGGUCAAAAGUGCAGUAGAUUGAAGUGGAUUGUGAAUCUUUGGACCACCAAUACAAGGUAG